AAGCAAACACUCUGUGACAGAUUAUCAAAACAGUCUGUCACAAUUUGAGCUUGCUAUAGCAAGAAAGUCUAACCUAUUCCAGCACGCUCCUUUCUGUGAGACAAGCCGUUACAUAGACUGAAACAAG
rnacentral:snoRNA from 1 species